GGCGCCAGCGUGGAGUAUGUGGUUUAUUCGAAGCAACGCGAAGAACCUUACCAGGUCUUGACAUCCGAUGCAUAGCACAGAGAUGUGUGAAAUCCUUCGGGACAUCGAGACAGGUGGUGCAUGGUUGUCGUCAGCUCGUGUCGUGAGAUGUUGGGUUAAGUCCCGCAACGAGCGCAACCCUUAUUGCCAGUUACUACGUUAAGAGGACUCUGGCGAGACUGCCGUUGACAAAACGGAGGAAGGUGGGGAUGACGUCAAAUCAUCAUGCCCUUUAUGACCUGGGCUACACACGUACUACAAUGGCGUUAAACAAAGAGAAGCAAGACCGCGAGGUGGAGCAAAACUCAAAAACAACGUCUCAGUUCAGAUUGCAGGCUGCAACUCGCCUGCAUGAAGUCGGAAUUGCUAGUAAUCGCGGAUCAGCAUGCCGCGGUGAAUACGUUCCCGGGCCUUGUACACACCGCCCGU
rnacentral:rRNA from 1 species